CCGGUGGCGAUGCGCCCAUGGGAAACACCCGUUCCCAUCCCGAACACGACGGUUAAGACGUGGGCGGCCGAAAGUACUAUACUGGCAACGGUAUGGGAGGAUAGGUGGCUGCCGGAUCA
rnacentral:rRNA from 1 species